GUAAGCACGGCCUGAGAGGGGCGACCGGCCACACUGGGACUGGAGACACGGCCCAGACUCCUCCCGGCAGGCAGCAGUGGGGAAUAUUGCACAAUGGGCGCAAGCCUCCCCGCAGCGACGCCGCUGUGAGGGAUGACGGCCUUCGGGUUGUAAACCUCUUUCAGCAGGGAAGAAGCGAAAGUGACGGUACCUGCAGAAGAAGCGCCGGCUAACUACGUGCCAGCAGCCGCGGUAAUACGUAGGGCGCAAGCGUUGUCCGGAAUUAUUGGGCGUAAAGAGCUCGUAGGCGGCUUGUCACGUCGGAUGUGAAAGCCCGAGGCUUAACCUCGGGUCUGCAUUCGAUACGGGCUAGCUAGAGUGUGGUAGGGGAGAUCGGAAUUCCUGGUGUAGCGGUGAAAUGCGCAGAUAUCAGGAGGAACACCGGUGGCGAAGGCGGAUCUCUGGGCCAUUACUGACGCUGAGGAGCGAAAGCGUGGGGAGCGAACAGGAUUAGAUACCCUGGUAGUCCACGCCGUAAACGUUGGGAAAUAGGUGUUGGCGACAUUCCACGUCGUCGGUGCCGCAGCUAACGCAUAAGUGCCCCGCUUUUAAGACCGAGUCGG
rnacentral:rRNA from 1 species